UACGUAGGUGGCAAGCGUUGUCCGGAUUUACUGGGCGUAAAGAGCGCGCAGGCGGUCGGAUAAGUCGAAUGUGAAAGCCCCCGGCUCAACUGGGGAGGGUCAUUCGAUACUGUUCGACUCGAAGGCAGGAGAGGGAAGUGGAAUUCCCGGUGUAGUGGUGAAAUGCGUAGAUAUCGGGAGGAACACCAGUGGCGAAGGCGGGUCUCUGGGCCAUAACUGACGCUGAGAAGCGAAAGCAUGGGGAGCGAACAGG
rnacentral:rRNA from 1 species